CCUACGGGGGGCAGCAGUGGGGGAUAUUGCACAAUGGGGGAAACCCUGAUGCAGCGACGCCGCGUGGGUGAAGAAGCGCCUCGGCGCGUAAAGCCCUGUCAGCAGGGAAGAAAAUGACGGUACCUGAAGAAGAAGCCCCGGCUAACUACGUGCCAGCAGCCGCGGUAAUACGUAGGGGGCAAGCGUUAUCCGGAUUUACUGGGUGUAAAGGGGGCGCAGACGGCGAUGCAAGCCAGGAGUGAAAGCCCGGGGCCCAACCCCGGGACUGCUCUUGGAACUGCGUGGCUAGAGUGAAGGGGGGGCAG
rnacentral:rRNA from 1 species